GAGGAGCUUGCUUUUCUCAGCUUAGUGGCGAACGGGUGAGUAACGCGUGAGUAACCUGCCCUGGAGUGGGGGACAACAGUUGGAAACGACUGCUAAUACCGCAUAAGCCCACGAUCCGGCAUCGGAUUGAGGGAAAAGGAUUUAUUCGCUUCAGGAUGGACUCGCGUCCAAUUAGCUAGUUGGUGAGGUAACGGCCCACCAAGGCGACGAUUGGUAGCCGGACUGAGAGGUUGAACGGCCACAUUGGGACUGAGACACGGCCCAGACUCCUACGGGAGGCAGCAGUGGGGGAUAUUGCACAAUGGGGGAAACCCUGAUGCAGCGACGCCGCGUGGAGGAAGAAGGUUUUCGGAUUGUAAACUCCUGUCGUUAGGGACGAUAAUGACGGUACCUAACAAGAAAGCACCGGCUAACUACGUGCCAGCAGCCGCGGUAAAACGUAGGGUGCAAGCGUUGUCCGGAAUUACUGGGUGUAAAGGGAGCGCAGGCGGACCGGCAAGUUGGAAGUGAAAACUAUGGGCUCAACCCAUAAAUUGCUUUCAAAACUGCUGGCCUUGAGUAGUGCAGAGGUAGGUGGAAUUCCCGGUGUAGCGGUGGAAUGCGUAGAUAUCGGGAGGAACACCAGUGGCGAAGGCGACCUACUGGGCACCAACUGACGCUGAGGCUCGAAAGCAUGGGUAGCAAACAGGAUUAGAUACCCUGGUAGUCCAUGCCGUAAACGAUGAUUACUAGGUGUUGGAGGAUUGACCCCUUCAGUGCCGCAGUUAACACAAUAAGUAAUCCACCUGGGGAGUACGACCGCAAGGUUGAAACUCAAAGGAAUUGACGGGGGCCCGC
rnacentral:rRNA from 1 species